rnacentral:lncRNA from 1 species
AAGGACAGAUAAGAAAACUACGAAUACUAAUAAUAUGACAUUAUAUUAUAGUAUGUUUAUACAUACUUGAAAGGGAUGAGUUAUUAUAACAUUCAAAACUGCUUUUUUAUCACAAAAUAAUUACUUAGAAAAAAUAAAUUUAAGAUUAUUUUGCAAAAUUGUUUCUUUAUGUUUGUUGACUAUCAACCAAACUUGUAGAAAACACAAAGAAAAUAUCAUUACGCUGCUGGAAAAAUAAAGAAAACGGUUAUAUCCACCGAUUUUCCGGCGUAUAGUGACGGAAAAGAAGAGACAACGGCUGAGGAAACCCACUAUGGCGAUUUGGUUCACCGGUGGGACACUGGGAUAGAUUUUAUGGCUGCUUUGGCGUCGAGGAAGCGGGUAGGCGGCAUUAGGUUGGUUCCGGCGACUGAAAACCACCGUUCAUGGUUGUUUGUUGUUAGAUCUGGACUUUUUCAAUGAGUUCUCACAUUUUCCGGCGAAGUUUAUCAGUUUUUGGAGAAAUUUCCGGCGACAGUGGAAUGGAUUAAAGCAAUAUUGAGUUUUCCGAACGAUUUUCCUUUCGUUCUCAACUGUUUUCUCUCUUACCUUACUUUUCUAUUCAAUUCUACUCUAUUUGUAACUGUAGGCACCAAUUUCGUUUCCCUUUUUUUUUUUUUUUACUGAUUUCUCUCCUCUGUACAGUGUGUUACAUAUGUGAUGUGAAUGAAAAUUAAAAAUAUCAGUGAUGUAGUGCGUGUUGUGAAUGUACAGUUUGUAAAACAUGGAUUCUGUCAAUACAUUGUUUGUGUGAAAUAUCUAUCUCAUUACAUGUAUUCAUACACAUUCAUGUUCUUUCACCACAAAAUUGAUAGCAUAAAUAAUACAAGUUCGAAGAUGAACUUGUAAUGAAUAAAUACAAAAGAUCGAAACUCUGACUUUCACUCUUUCUUCCUUUCUCUCUUUUUGAUUGAUGUUUUUCUCUCUUCUUUUCAAUGAUUUUUUUUUAUUUUGUUUAUUAAUUUUUAUUUUUUGUUGCAGUAUCUGAUAAUGGCAGUGUCUGAUUUUUAAUUCAAAUUUAAAAUUCAAUUUUUUUUUUAAAUUAGAAUAAAAAUAAAAAAAAAUAUCUCAAAGUAGC